rnacentral:rRNA from 1 species
AUUGAACGCUGGCGGCAGGCUUAACACAUGCAAGUCGAGCGGAUGAGGGAAGCUUGCUUCCCGAUUUAGCGGCGGACGGGUGAGUAAUGCCUAGGAAUCUGCCUAUUAGUGGGGGAUAACGUUCCGAAAGGAACGCUAAUACCGCAUACGUCCUACGGGAGAAAGUGGGGGAUCUUCGGACCUCACGCUAAUAGAUGAGCCUAGGUCGGAUUAGCUAGUUGGCGAGGUAACGGCUCACCAAGGCGACGAUCCGUAGCUGGUCUGAGAGGAUGAUCAGCCACACUGGAACUGAGACACGGUCCAGACUCCUACGGGAGGCAGCAGUGGGGAAUAUUGGACAAUGGGCGAAAGCCUGAUCCAGCCAUGCCGCGUGUGUGAAGAAGGUCUUCGGAUUGUAAAGCACUUUAAGUUGGGAGGAAGAGUUGUAAGCUAAUAUCUUGCAGCUUUGACGUUACCAACAGAAUAAGCACCGGCUAACUCUGUGCCAGCAGCCGCCGUAAGAC